CAGCGAGUUGGUAGCUACGAGCCAAGGGCGGUAGCGUA
rnacentral:ncRNA from 1 species